GUGGAGACCACCGUGAUGCUACAAGUCCUGUUUCCUCCAAAAGAAACUCACAUCACCAUCAAUCCAUCUGCUUCAGUUUCUGUUGGCACUAAUGUGACUUUGACCUGCAGAAGCAAAGCCAGUCCAUCAAAUGACAUGAACUACACCUGGUACAAACGUGGACAGGAGACGCCAAUAGCUUGGGGAAAGAGGAAUAGUUUCAUUGUAACUAACAAUAAAACAGGAUUUUACUUCUGCACUGCACAGAAUAAACAUGGAAACCAAUCAUCAGCAGAGAUCCAGCUCACAGUUGAAGUUACAGACAUUUCACAAGACAUGGGACAAGAUGGACACUCUAUGCUUAUAAUUGGUUGUGUGGGAGGAAUCGUGGCAGCGCUCAUGCUCUCUGCUCUUGGUUUUUGUACAAGGACCAGGACAAAGACACACAGGGGAGACAAUGUUGGAGAAAAAUAUUCCUUAAAUCAGGAUGAAACUAUAGACAGGCAUUCCACAUAUGCUACUGUCAUCAUGACCAACCAGGACAACAAGAUCUCUGAUGAUUAUAGUAUGUGUGAGCGUAAGACUAAGACUGACCAUGAUAAAGUGAAAGACUCAACGAAUGAAGACGACAAUGAAAAAGGUUCAGAUGUACUAUAUGCUCAGGUCCAUGUGUUACAAAAAAACCCAAAAGCCAUCAGUGUUGUGACUGAGGUCAUUUAUUUUCAGGUGAAAAAAUAAUUUUUUACAUCUCGCAGCAAAAAAAAUAGUCUAUUAAUGAAAAACAAUCCUAAGCAGCUACUUGAGGACAAUUACAAAAAUGAGGCAAAACAAUUGUCUGAUAUUGCUUGCAUUCAAAUUUACAUUAGAAAUGCUUGUGUUCCAGUAACACUCUGAAAUUACUUGUACGUUAUAUUUCUGUAUGCUUGUAUUGUUUGUAUAUUGCUCUAUACAUUUUCAGCUGUUUAUUUUCUGAUGAAUAAUGAAUCUGUUUUAUUAAAAACAGUGAGUGAUGGCAUUUCUUUGUUUUCAUUUUGUUGAAUAAUAAAAAGUUACACAAAAAUGUAAGAACUUUUUGUCAGUAACACAAAUUUUUGUUACUUUGUUGAAAAAAAAAAAAUGUACAUGUAACAUUUUAACUAUUAAAAUGUCUCUACAAUAUUCCAGAAUGAAUAAUUAAAUGGUGGUACUGCUUUUUGGUGAUUGAUUCAUACAUUUGUAUAGCUGAACGAGGUUUGGCUAGGAAACUAGUCAUUACCUUAUCACAAUUGUGAAAUGAAUUUAAGUGACAGACAGGCACGUGCACAGGUAGGGCUCAACCUGUGCAGAGCACAUGCCCUUUUUGUCCUUACACUCCGAAGUGCCCUUUUUUUGGAGGUGUUUUAUGUUAUUUAUUUAUUUUCUUCAAUAAAUCAAUGCUAUUGGUCACCCUUUACGUCUGUCUGUCGAUUUACAAAUAUAUUUAGCCAGUUAAAGGUAUUAAAAAGAGCUUGUGACAAAAUCUUUUUGGAUCUGCUCAAACUGUCAG